UACGUAGGGGGCUAGCGUUGUCCGGAUUUAUUGGGCGUAAAGAGCGCGUAGGCGGCCGAGUAAGUCCGACGUGAAAUCUGGAGGCUCAACCUCCAGCGGUCGUUGGAAACUACUCGGCUAGAGACCGGAAGAGGAGAGUGGAAUUCCUGGUGUAGCGGUGAAAUGCGCAGAUAUCAGGAAGAACACCGAUGGCGAAAGCAGCUCUCUGGGACGGUACUGACGCUGAGGCGCGAAAGCUAGGGGAGCGAACAGG
rnacentral:rRNA from 1 species